GACGAACGCUGGCGGCGUGCUUAACACAUGCAAGUCGAACGGAAAGGCCCUGCUUUUGUGCGGUGCUCGAGUGGCGAACGGGUGAGUAACACGUAAGUAACCUGCCCUUCACUUUGGGAGAACUUCAGGAAACUGGGGUUAAUACCGUAUAGGAUCCCCUCCUCCAUGGUGGGGGUUGGAACGUUUCGGCGGUUGGGGAUGGAUUCGCGGCUUAUCAGCUUGUUGGUGGGGUAGUGGCUUACCAAGGCUUUGACGGGUAGCCGGCCUGAGAGGGUGAACGGCCACAUUGGGACUGAGAUACGGCCCAGACUCCUACGGGAGGCAGCAGUGGGGAAUAUUGCACAAUGGGCGGAAGCCUGAUGCAGCAACGCCGCGUGCGGGAUGACGGCCUUCGGGUUGUAAACCGCUUUCGCCUGUGACGAAGCGUGAGUGACGGUAAUGGGUAAAGAAGCACCGGCUAACUACGUG
rnacentral:rRNA from 1 species